AGUGAACGCUGGCGGUAGGCCUAACACAUGCAAGUCGAACGGCCGCACAGUAAGUGCUUGCUCUUACGGGUGGAGAGUGGCGGAAGGGUGCGGAAUACAUCGGAAUCUACUUUUUCGUGGGGGAUAACGUCGGGAAACUUACGCUAAUACCGCAUACGACCUCCGGGUGAAAGCAGGGGAUCUUCGGACCUUGCGCGUUUGAAUGAGCCGCUGUCGGAUUAGCUAGUUGGCGGGGUAAAGGCCCACCAAGGCGACGAUCCGUAGGUGGUCUGAGGGGAUGAUCCGGCAGCUUGGAACUGAGACACGGCCCAGACUCUUGCGGUGGGCAGCGGUGCAGAAUAUUGGACGAUGGGCGCGAGCCUGAUCCAGCCAUACCGCGUAGAUGAAGAAGGCGUUCGGGUUGUAGAGCCCUUUUGUUGGGAAAGAAAAGCAGCAGUUUAAUACCCGGCUGUACUGACGGUACCCAAAGAAUAAGCACCGGCUAACUUCGUG
rnacentral:rRNA from 1 species